rnacentral:tRNA from 1 species
GGCACGGUGGUGCAGUGGUUGGUUAGCCACGUCCCCUCACAUCAUGAAGGUGCUGGGUUCGAUCCCCACUGUCGUAUCU